GUGAUGCAUGGUCCCUGUGUGUAUUCCACUGUUCACCCUUUCUCCUGUUUGGCCUUAAUAACAUUGCAGUAGGAGGACGAACUGGAGUGGUGUCAACCCGCACUACCCCUUAUACUCUUGGUUGCUAGCACAAGGGGAGACACUGUGCAUGGGUUGGUCAAAGGAUACUACUUGGAGAAAACCUCUGGACUCAAGCACGUAGGAUGCAUGUGCACCUACAGGUGGAAUACAGGUAGGGACCACACCUCUCUGAGAACCUCCAGUUAUAGUAAGUAACCUCUUCUGUGUCUUACAUACUGUGCCCCCAAAUAGUAGCCUGUUUUUGCAAGGGCAUCACAUUGUUGGCUCAUAUUCAAUUUGUGGUUCACUAUAACUCCCAGAUCCUUUUCUGCACUAGUACUGCCUAACCAGUUACUCCUCAUGAUAGUGGAAGGAUCCCAAGUAUGUGUGGGGAGGGAUGCAUUCUCACGCUCCACUGUGAAGACUUUUUAAUGGUUGGAGAGCCCUCAUGGACAGUCUUCAUAUGCAAAUAACUUGGUCCUGGGAAGAUUUGGGGCUCCAAAUUAAUGUCCUGGAGUGCAGGACUAUCAGGCUAGUCUGCAUUACUUUUUUCCUGUUCAAAAUUCUACAGUAUAGAUCGUGAUGGAAAACAUCUCUGAUGCACUACAUCACCAACCAGGGGAGACAGGCCUGUCUGAUUCUGUCAGGAGGCCAUCAACUCUGGACAUGGUGCUAUUGACCUGGGAUACCAGGUUACCACUUGUCUGGUGUACCUCUUUCACUGAACAUCAAGGCUCACUCCACCAGAGUUCAG